AUGGCAGAUGCAUCCAGCGACAAGCAAGGAACUUCACCGGCAAGCUCUGGUCCCGACAAAGAUGGAUCUGCGCAGAGGCGUGAGAAGAUGCAGAAAAGAAUGGUGCAGCGCCCAGUUUACUUUGUCAGUUCCCUUCUGCAGGGAGCUAGAUCAAGGUACUCUGGUGUGCAGAAGUUGCUUUUUGCCCUUCUCAUGGCCUCGAGAAAGCUGCGCCAUUACUUCCAAGCACAUGAGAUCACAGUCGUCACUCGUUUUCCGCUGAAGAGGAUACUGCAAAAUCCCGAAGCAACAGGCAGGAUUGUCGAGUGGGCGCUGGAACUGUCAAGCUUUGGCCUCAAGUUUGAAAGCACUUCAACUAUCCAAAGCAGAUCAUUGGCAGAGUUCAUAGCAGAGUGG
rnacentral:rRNA from 1 species